UACGUAGGUGGCAAGCGUUGUCCGGAUUUACUGGGCGUAAAGAGCGCGCAGGCGGUCGUUCAAGUCGCGUGUGAAAGCCCCCGGCUCAACUGGGGAGGGUCACGCGAUACUGAUCGACUGGAAGGCAGGAGAGGGUAGUGGAAUUCCCGGUGUAGUGGUGAAAUGCGUAGAUAGUCGGGAGGAACACCAGUGGCGAAGGCGACUACCUGGCCUGUUCUUGACGCUGAGGCGCGAAAGCUAGGGGAGCAAACGGG
rnacentral:rRNA from 1 species